CCGACUUUAGCUCAGUUGGAAGAGCAUCAGACUGUAAUUGGUUACGUAAUCACAUCUGGGUGUCGCCUGUUCGAACCAGGCAAGUCGGA
rnacentral:tRNA from 1 species